rnacentral:rRNA from 1 species
GACGAACGCUGGCGGCGUGCUUAACACAUGCAAGUCGAACGGAAAGGCCCUGCUUUUGUGGGGUGCUCGAGUGGCGAACGGGUGAGUAACACGUGAGUAACCUGCCCUUGACUUUGGGAUAACUUCAGGAAACUGGGGCUAAUACCGGAUAGGAGCUCCUGCUGCAUGGUGGGGGUUGGAAAGUUUCGGCGGUUGGGGAUGGACUCGCGGCUUAUCAGCUUGUUGGUGGGGUAGUGGCUUACCAAGGCUUUGAAGGGUAGCCGGCCUGAGAGGGUGACCGGCCACAUUGGGACUGAGAUACGGCCCAGACCCCUACGGGAGGCAGCAGUGGGGAAUAUUGCACAAUGGGCGGAAGCCUGAUGCAGCAACGCCGCGUGCGGGAUGACGGCCUUCGGGUUGUAAACCGCUUUCGCCUGUGACGAAGCGUGAGUGACGGUAAUGGGUAAAGAAGCACCGGCUAACUACGUG